rnacentral:rRNA from 1 species
CACGUAGGGUGCGAGCGUUGUCCGGAAUUAUUGGGCGUAAAGAGCUCGUAGGCGGUUCGUCGCGUCGGCUGUGAAAACCUGAGGCUCAACCUCAGGCCUGCAGUCGAUACGGGCGGACUUGAGUACUGCAGGGGAGACUGGAAUUCCUGGUGUAGCGGUGAAAUGCGCAGAUAUCAGGAGGAACACCGGUGGCGAAGGCGGGUCUCUGGGCAGUAACUGACGCUGAGGAGCGAAAGCGUGGGGAGCGAACAGG